rnacentral:rRNA from 1 species
AUGACUCAGCUCUUUGAGAUUAGGGAGAAAUGGGCUAAGCCAUACAUCAAAGGAGUCUUUUGUGCAAAAAUGACCAGUACCCAACGCAGCGAGAGUGCAAACCAUAUGCUUAAGUGCUAUGUUCCACCAGGAUCGCCAAUGCAUAUGUUUGUGAGGCAAUACAUGAGGCUGCAGUUUGAUAGGUCGUCUGACGAGAGUUACGAGGAGAAGAGAACAAAAAUAGGAGGGGUUGUGAUGCGGACGGACUCAUCUAUCGAGCUGGAUGCAAGCAGAAUUUACACGAGAUCCAUGUUCGAGCAGUUCCAACUCAUUCUGUACGAAGCAUGGGGGUACCGAGUGCAGGAGGUAGAGCAAAACUCAUUGUACAGGGCGACGCACACAAGACCUGACCAGCGUGAGAAAUGGAGCAGAGUCGUCUUCAUGGUGAGAAAUGGAGCAGAGUCGUCUUCAUGGUGA